AAAAAAAAAUAAAAAAUAAACAUCAUAGUAAAACCAAUACAUUUCUCGCUCUACUCAGAAUCUAAAACAAUUUUAUAAUACUAUUUAAUAUAUACGUUACGUAUAAUUAUUAAUAGCAUAGUGUUCAAUUGUAUCGUGUUUAAUGCAAUGCGGUCGAAUAAAACUGAAACUUGGGGAGAGAUUUCGAUAAAAAAAAUAUAUUAUAAUAAGCCUAAUAGGUUUUAACCCUAAAGGGUUAGUAGAGGCGUUAACGGAAUGUAAACGUAGCAUACUU